AAAUCAAACAAAGGUUGCUAAACAACAUCCAACAUUUUUAACAGAGAUGGUGAGUAAUGAGUACACUUGUGGUUAUUAAUUCACACUUAAUUUUAUCUUUAAUUCAACAUUUUAAUCUAUAUAUUCUGGAAUUUUAAUCAUAUAUAUAAUAUGUCGGUAUUCGUAAAAAUUAAUAAACUAUUUUUUUUCUUUUGCUCUCACAUACUAGGCUCUCUUCAAAAUUAAUAGCCUAUAUUUUUAUAAUUUUUAAAAGAUUAAAUUAAAGUUUUAUCAUUUUUGGGGGGUCAAAGUACAAUUUUACGUUUAUUAAUUUAAAAUUUUAAAAAUUUUAAAGGGCCUAAAUGAAAAAAUUUCAUUUUAAGGGGGGUCGGGACCCCUGCCAACUCCCCUAAGUAUGGCCCUAUUAACAAAGCCCUCAACAAAUGGUAUUGUUCUCAUGUUAGGGUUUUGUCUCUUGAUUCCGCUAAGAGUCCUAUGGGUUCAUGGAGAUGGUUGCAAGGUAAAGGCUACACAUGCAUUGGUUGGUAGUUUGAAUCCCUACGCACAUAUUCUCAAUGAUUAUUCCGCAGAGGCUAGGGAUAAAAUCCCGACAUUGGGACACUACCAUUAGUUGUUGAGGGCAGCACCGAUUGCCUAGCAAACAACACUCAAAAGACUUCUCCUAAAGGAGUCGAUCUCCCUCAACAAAAAGUCAAGUACAAGGUCUAUUAUGGGUGAUCGUAAUUUAUCCAAUCAAUGACAUAUAAGUUUUAUCGGUUUUCAAGUAUUUUCUAACUCUUUCUCUUUAUUUUCUUCUAAAAUUUUCAAUUCAUAGACAAGUAUAACACAAUGGUCUUAAUUGAGCUAGCUUGCCUCGUCAGUGGCUGUUGAUCUAAGAAAAAUAAAGGAGGCCAAUAAGAAGAACGAAACUCCACAUCUUUACUAUCAUGUUCUACAAAACAAAGAGACUUUUUUCUCGAUGAAAUUUGUAUUGGGCUAUCAAUGUUUCAUGGAUUAUAUUGUUUUUCUAAUGUAAGAUUGGGUUUUG